AGGGCUGUAACUCAGUGGUAGAGUAUCUGCUUUGUAUGCUGAAGUUCCCUUGUUCAACCUCCAGGUAGGUCUG